UACGUAGGGCGCAAGCGUUGUCCGGAAUUAUUGGGCGUAAAGAGCUCGUAGGCGGCCUGUUGCGUCCGCUGUGAAAUCCCGGGGCUCAACCCCGGGCCUGCAGUGGAUACGGGCUGGCUAGAGGCAGGCAGGGGAGAACGGAAUUCCUGGUGUAGCGGUGAAAUGCGCAGAUAUCAGGAGGAACACCGGUGGCGAAGGCGGUUCUCUGGGCCUGUACUGACGCUGAGGAGCGAAAGCCAGGGGAGCAAACGGG
rnacentral:rRNA from 1 species